GAUGAACGCUGGCGGCGUGCCUAAUACAUGCAAGUCGAGCGAACAGACGAGGAGCUUGCUCCUCUGACGUUAGCGGCGGACGGGUGAGUAACACGUGGAUAACCUACCUAUAAGACUGGGAUAACUUCGGGAAACCGGAGCUAAUACCGGAUAAUAUAUUGAACCGCAUGGUUCAAUAGUGAAAGACGGUUUUGCUGUCACUUAUAGAUGGAUCCGCGCCGCAUUAGCUAGUUGGUAAGGUAACGGCUUACCAAGGCAACGAUGCGUAGCCGACCUGAGAGGGUGAUCGCCACAACUGGAACUGAAACACGGUCCAGACUCCUACGGGAGGCAGCAGUAGGGAAUCUUCCGCAAUGGGCGAAAGCUUGACGGAGCAACGCCGCGUGAGUGAUGAAGGUCUUCGGAUCGUAAAACUCUGUUAUUAGGGAAGAACAAAUGUGUAAGUAACUAUGCACGUCUUGACGGUACCUAAUCAGAAAGCCACGGCUAACUACGUG
rnacentral:rRNA from 1 species